rnacentral:rRNA from 2 species
CGGCGAACGGGUGAGUAACACGUGGGUGAUCUGCCCUGCACUCUGGGAUAAGCUUGGGAAACUGGGUCUAAUACCGGAUAUGACCACAGCAUGCAUGUGUUGUGGUGGAAAGAUUUAUCGGUGCAGGAUGGGCCCGCGGCCUAUCAGCUUGUUGGUGGGGUAAUGGCCUACCAAGGCGACGACGGGUAGCCGACCUGAGAGGGUGACCGGCCACACUGGGACUGAGACACGGCCCAGACUCCUACGGGAGGCAGCAGUGGGGAAUAUUGCACAAUGGGCGGAAGCCUGAUGCAGCGACGCCGCGUGAGGGAUGAAGGCCUUCGGGUUGUAAACCUCUUUCAGCAGGGACGAAGCGUGAGUGACGGUACCUGCAGAAGAAGCACCGGCUAACUACGUGCCAGCAGCCGCGGUAAUACGUAGGGUGCGAGCGUUGUCCGGAAUUACUGGGCGUAAAGAGUUCGUAGGCGGUUUGUCGCGUCGUUUGUGAAAACCCGGGGCUCAACUUCGGGCUUGCAGGCGAUACGGGCAGACUUGAGUGUUUCAGGGGAGACUGGAAUUCCUGGUGUAGCGGUGAAAUGCGCAGAUAUCAGGAGGAACACCGGUGGCGAAGGCGGGUCUCUGGGAAACAACUGACGCUGAGG